AGUGUUUAUUAGCCUCUGAAGCAGCACUACUCUAGCUGCUGUAGUUGCAGAGCAUCUGGCAGAGGUGCUGCUCUUUUUCUCCAGAGGUGUCCUCGGGCCUGGGAAGCAAAGGGGGAUGUUGCCAGGUGGCAGAGCUACCUUCUCAUCUAGUGCCAAGGGAGAGACUCCAGGUGUGCCUGGUGAGGGCUCCUGCUGUGCACUCACCCUGCUCAGUGCAUGUCUGCUCCUGUGCCUCACGUGGCUGCUCCAUCCCCAUCCCGGGGCCAGGCGUGUAGGAAGGAGUGUGCUCAACCAGUCAGAAAGGGGAAGCGUAUCUGAAAUAAGAAACUCAGCAUCAGCUGCAUAA
rnacentral:lncRNA from 1 species